AGCGAACGCUGGCGGCAGGCUUAACACAUGCAAGUCGAACGGGCUUCUUCGGAAGUCAGUGGCAGACGGGUGAGUAACACGUGGGAACGUGCCCUUCGGUUCGGAAUAACUCAGGGAAACUUGAGCUAAUACCGGAUACGCCCUUAUGGGGAAAGGUUUACUGCCGAAGGAUCGGCCCGCGUCUGAUUAGCUUGUUGGUGGGGUAACGGCCUACCAAGGCGACGAUCAGUAGCUGGUCUGAGAGGAUGAUCAGCCACACUGGGACUGAGACACGGCCCAG
rnacentral:rRNA from 1 species